UUAUUCCUACGGGGCGCAGCAGUAGGGAAUCUUCCACAAUGGACGAAAGUCUGACCGAGCAACGCCGCGUGAAUGAAGAAGGCCUUCGGGUUGUAAAAUUCUGUUAUAAGGGAAGAAAGGUGAUAGGAGGAAAUGACUAUCAAUUGACGGUACCUUAUGAGAAAGCCACGGCUAACUACGUGCCAGCAGCCGCGGUAAUACGUAGGUGGCAAGCGUUAUCCGGAAUUAUUGGGCGUAAAGAGCGCGCAGGUGGUUAAUUAAGUCUGAUGUGAAAGCCCACGGCUUAACCGUGGAGGGUCAUUGGA
rnacentral:rRNA from 1 species